rnacentral:lncRNA from 1 species
CACUGUCGUCUUCCUGCCAGGGCGCACGCGCGCUGGGUGUCCCGCCAACUGACACUGGGCUCGCGAUUCCUUGGAGCGGGUUGAUGACGUCAGCGUUCGAAUUCCAUGGCUGCGCGGCGGCAACGGAGCACCGGCGGCAGCAGGGCGACAGCAUUAUAUGGAAGCAAAAGAGUUAAUGAUGGCAACACAGCUCCAGAAGACCCUUCCCCUGCCAAGAAAACUCACAGAUGCCAGAGACAGGGGUCAAAAAAGAUGCCUGUGGCUGGAGGAAAAGCUAAUGACAGGACAGAAGACAAGCAAGAUGAAUCUGUGAAGGCCUUGCUGUUAAAGGGCAAAGCUCCUGUGGACCCAGAGUGUACAGCCAAAGUGGGUAAGGUAAGAGACUCUGGAACUGAUCGUCAGUCCAUGGGUGUCUUGGAGAGCGUCCUUUGUGACAAGGACUCUUGUCUGGGAUAUUGUUAGUAUCCG